rnacentral:lncRNA from 1 species
UUCGUUUUCUUAUUAUUUUUUGUCCCAAGCGAAGCUCUUCUUAGCCACCAGAUGCAACAGCAACAGCAACAACAACUACCACUAUAUAUAUAUAUGUAUCAGGGAUUAUCAAGCGUAUAUAUCUACGAACGAGUAUAACAACUAAAUGCAACAUAAAAACGCAGCUACCUCAAAUGUUUUCUCAGCGAAGACAAACCCAAC